rnacentral:rRNA from 1 species
CCUACGGGAGGCUGCAGUAGGGAAUAUUGCUCAAUGGGGGAAACCCUGACGCCUCCCCGCCUCUUUUCUUCUUCCUUUUUUCUUCUUUUCCCCUCCUUUUGUUAGAGAAGAUAAUGACGGUAUCUAACGAAUAAGCACCGGCUAACUCCGUGCCAGCAGCCGCGGUAAUACGGAGGGUGCAAGCGUUACUCGGAAUCACUGGGCGUAAAGCGCGCGUAGGCGGGAUAGCAAGUCAGAUGUGAAAUCCUAUGGCUUAACCAUAGAACUGCAUUUGAAACUGUUAUUCUAGAGUAUGGGAGAGGUAGGUGGAAUUCUUGGUGUAGGGGUAAAAUCCGUAGAGAUCAAGAGGAAUACUCAUUGCGAAGGCGACCUGCUAGAACAUAACUGACGCUGAUGCGCGAAAGCGUGGGGAGCAAACAGGAUUAGAUACCCUUGUAGUC